AUUGAACGCUGGCGGCAGGCCUAACACAUGCAAGUCGAGCGGAUGAGUGGAGCUUGCUCCAUGAUUCAGCGGCGGACGGGUGAGUAAUGCCUAGGAAUCUGCCUGGUAGUGGGGGACAACGUUUCGAAAGGAACGCUAAUACCGCCUACGUCCUACGGGAGAAAGGGGGGGAUCUUCGGACCUCCCGCUAUCAGAUGAGCCUGGUUCGGAGUAGCUAGUUGGUGAGGUAAAGGCUCACCAAGGCGACGAUCCGUAACUGGUCUGAGAGGAUGAUCAGUCACACUGGAACUGAGACACGGUCCAGACUCCUACGGGAGGCAGCAGUGGGGAAUAUUGGACAAUGGGCGAAAGCCUGAUCCAGCCAUGCCGCGUGUGUGAAGAAGGUCUUCGGAUUGUAAAGCACUUUAGGUUGGGAGGAAGGGCAGUAAGUUAAUACCUUGCUGUUUUGACGUUACCAACAGAAUAAGCACCGGCUAACUUCGUGCCAGCAGCCGCCGUAAGAC
rnacentral:rRNA from 1 species